CUACGGGUGGCUGCAGUGGGGAAUAUUGGACAAUGGGCGCAAGCCUGAUCCAGCAAUACCGCGUGUGUGAAGAAGGCCUGCGGGUUGUAAAGCACUUUCAAUUGUGAAGAAAAGCCUGGGGUUAAUACCCUCGGGUCUUGACGUUAACUUUAGAAGAAGCACCGGCUAACUCCGUGCCAGCAGCCGCGGUAAUACGGAGGGUGCGAGCGUUAAUCGGAAUUACUGGGCGUAAAGCGUGCGUAGGCGGCUAGGUCAGUCAGAUGUGAAAGCCCCGGGCUUAACCUGGGAACUGCAUUUGAUACUGCCUGGCUAGAGUAUGGUAGAGGGAAGUGGAAUUCCGGGUGUAGCGGUGACAUGCGUAGAUAUCCGGAGGAACACCAGUGGCGAAGGCGACUUCCUGGACCAAUACUGACGCUGAGGUACGAAAGCGUGGGUAGCAAACAGGAUUAGAUACCCUCGUAGUC
rnacentral:rRNA from 1 species